CAUCACCAUAUCAUCGAAACUCUUUUCAAUGGGCUAGAACGAUUCCAACUCACCUCAACAAGGAUUAUUGAUCCGAAAAUGAUCCUAAUGAGUUCUCACGAUCCAUCAGUGAUGUCUAGCAGCAUGUAGUGGUAAUUCAGUAGAAUGAAAAAGAUAAACCUUUAGAUACAGUUAUCGUGUGAUAUAAUCCCUCUACCAUGAGUUUUGAUUAGAUGGAGGU
rnacentral:lncRNA from 1 species